UACAGAGGGUGCAAGCGUUAAUCGGAAUUACUGGGCGUAAAGCGUGCGUAGUCGGUUAUCUAAGUCGGGUGUGAAAUCCCCGGGCUCAACCUGGGAAUUGCAUUCGAUACUGGAUAGCUAGAGUUCGGCAGAGGGCGGUGGAAUUGCCGGUGUAGUGGUGAAAUGCGUAGAGAUCGGCAGGAACACCCAGGGAGAAAUCAGCCGCCUGGGCAAGUGCUGACGCUGAGGUGCGAAAGCGUGGGGAGCGAACCGG
rnacentral:rRNA from 1 species